rnacentral:rRNA from 1 species
UACGAAGGGGGCUAGCGUUGCUCGGAAUUACUGGGCGUAAAGCGCACGUAGGCGGUCUUUUAAGUCAGAGGUGAAAUCCUGGAGCUCAACUCCAAAACUGCCUUUGAUACUGAAAGUCUUGAGUAUGGGAGAGGUGAGUGGAACUGCGAGUGUAGAGGUGAAAUUCGUAGAUAUUCGCAAGAACACCAGUGGCGAAGGCGGCUCACUGGCCCAUUACUGACGCUGAGGCACGAAAGCGUGGGGAGCAAACAGGG